GUCUCAGUAGCUCAGUGGUUAGAGCUCUGGCACAGUAAGCCAUAGGCCAUGGGUUUGUGUCCCUGUUGAGACU
rnacentral:tRNA from 1 species